UCGCACCUCUAAGAAAGAGUAUCUAUCUAUCUGUGCAUCCAAGUCGCCUGCAUCAGUUAGGGCCAUAUGGAGUACCUGUCUGAAUUGAAGAGGUGAUUUGAAUUUUCAAGAGAUGAGUGGAGUGGCGUAAAUGGUGGCAGGCUGCUAGCUGCAGCAGGAGCAUCAGCAGAGCACAUGCUUGGAAUGGAAGGCCGGUGCCCUCAUGUACGUUGUUAUAAAUACUAUGGCCUACUACAUCCAGGGAAGAAUAACAGCAGACCAGACGAGUGGUCAUUGUCGAUGCGAGAUGAGACGCAGUGGCAAUCAAUCAAUUUAAUGGCUCGUCGGAAUUGUUGCGUGGACCGAACAACAAUCAGGCCACACACAUUCUUCUCCGAGAGAGACCGCGAUGGCGUAAACUGGGCAAGAUUACAAGGAGCCGCACGCAGACGCGGCCAUGAAGCAACAGCGACCGCACCUGACCUAUCAUGGUCCCUUCUUAUUUGCAGUAGUACUAUGUUUGAUCACGCUCUUUGUAGUACUUCUUAUACAUUUGAUUUGAGGUUUCUUUUUUGAUUUAAAGGAAUAGCACAGGAUUUUCGAAGAAUUUGAAACUUUCUAUGUAGACCGUUUGAUACUACAUAGAAAUGGAAUCCUCACACUAGUAGAAAAA